GAAUAAGCUCCCUGUUCUUUUUGCCACUGGAUGAUGGAAGAAUGAGCUUGUCUAGGUAUAUAUUUUCUUGACUUUCACCAGUUUCAGAAGGAGUCUAAUUUAAACAUUUGGGGUUUGUUUGAUCUGUAUUUAUUGCAUCCUGGCCAUAGGCCGGGGGCCUGCAUGUUAUGUUUAUGAACAGCUAGAACACAGCCAUGUGGAACUUAAUGGCUCAAGAUCUUCUAAAUAAUUUAACUUAUUUUGUAUGUUGCAAAAAAGAAAAAAAAAGUUUAUUUUGCUUGAGAGUCACAUUUUUUUAUAACUGUACAGCUUUUAAGGGAUGGGAGGUGGGGAAAUACCCUAAAAUAGGAUGUAGAUUUUUACAGUUGUGUUUAUGCUAGAACAUCUAUGGGAGCAUUAUGUAAUUAAACCUCAAAAUUGUUUAAAACCU
rnacentral:lncRNA from 1 species